UGUAUCGCACGGGCCACGCUCAAACUUUUCUGGAAUUGACCAAUCAGAGCUCGUUAAAACCAUUUGCUCUCUUCACGCGUCCUUUUCCACAAGCAGGACGCUCAUUUACAUGCUCAUUUAGCCAAUGACUGGUGAGAGCAGUCAGCGUCAGGAUUCAGUCGACCACAGGACCCCAGUUGCCCAGGCCGGCGGGCGUGGAGAUACGUAGCCCCUUUGCCUUCUCUCAACCAGGGAUACAGACAUAAAAAGUUGCAAUACCAUGUGCCUUAGCUAGUGCGCAAGCUCUAGCCGGCAGUUGCCGUGCUAUAGCCGGGACAAUCACAUAUGCCAGAAGCCGUGGUCACAGCUGACUCAAGCCUCCCGGUCACAGAGCUGAUCAUGACAACUGACUCCAGUCUCCUUUGUGUAAAAUUUUGUUUCGAUAUUGUUGAUGAUGGUAGAAGGAGCAUGUUGAUAUCAUAUGUGUAUUAAGUAGUAGCAUCGUCGACAGAAAGAAGGAAACAUGGGAAGGAACCAGAUCAGUAGCAGAGCCAUCACGUGCAGGCUAUAUAAUACAUUGCUAGCCACAGUAAACCUUACACCAGUUAGAGAUUACUGGGGUGACUUACAUA